UCCCCUUUGUAAGCCUGUUUAGUGA
rnacentral:misc_RNA from 1 species